GUGGCUAUGGUGUAAAGGCAGCACGGGAGGUUGUGAUCCUCUUAGUACGGGUUCGAAUCCCGUUAGCCACC
rnacentral:tRNA from 1 species